rnacentral:lncRNA from 1 species
GUGCUUUAUGGGUUACACUGCUCCCUGUAGAAUAUUGCCAAAGCAUUUCAAUAAAAAGCAGUUUUAGCAUACAUUUCCCUCGUGUCGCUAUAGGGUUAAAACAAUAAAAUCAAGACAAUAAAGCAGCAUUUCCGUUUCAAGAUGGUGAGUUUUCUACCGAAACAGUUCCCAUGAACACACAUGGCUGGUUUUAUGAAGAGAUACUUUUAUUGCAGCACCAGCUCGUGAGCUGAUUCAUCCACUCAGAGGAACCGAAGCUCAGAUGGGGAACUGACAGCACAGGAGGAGGACUUCCACGAACACAUCCACUCCUCAAGGAACGCCGAUUACAUUUUCUGUCGGGAAUAUAAACAGCAACAGGAGUUACAUUGUUGCGAGUUGCCGGGAAUUAUUUGUUACUUUGAAACGCGUCGCUUACUUGCUGUGAAAGUGAAUGGAUACAAAGUUUUUUUUUUCCUAGCAAGUUUUUAGCCGCCUGGCUAACCAGCCGUAAGAUAUGAAGACUUCGGGUCCACAACAGAUUUACAGACUCAGUAUUUACUCUUAGUGAACUCUUACGAGAACUUUUAUUUAUAUUUAUUUCAGCGGAGUCCAAAAUAUGUGUUGUGAAACAGCGAGCAAGUUUGCGUAAAGACAUGUCCCCUCAUGCACAAGUACCUGGGGUGGGUGGAUCACCUGUUCAAGGUAAUAUUAUAGUUUAUUUAUGUCUUGAUUGUCUACCAUUUAAGGGCUGGGGUAAUACUAGUGUCUGGUUGAUGUUGGC